rnacentral:rRNA from 1 species
UUGAACGCUGGCGGCAGGCCUAACACAUGCAAGUCGAGCGGAUGAAGGGAGCUUGCUCCUGAAUUCAGCGGCGGACGGGUGAGUAAUGCCUAGGAAUCUGCCUGGUAGUGGGGGACAACGUUUCGAAAGGAACGCUAAUACCGCAUACGUCCUACGGGAGAAAGCAGGGGACCUUCGGGCCUUGCGCUAUCAGAUGAGCCUAGGUCGGAUUAGCUAGUUGGUGAGGUAAUGGCUCACCAAGGCGACGAUCCGUAACUGGUCUGAGAGGAUGAUCAGUCACACUGGAACUGAGACACGGUCCAGACUCCUACGGGAGGCAGCAGUGGGGAAUAUUGGACAAUGGGCGAAAGCCUGAUCUAGCCAUGCCGCGUGUGUGAAGAAGGUCUUCGGAUUGUAAAGCACUUUAAGUUGGGGGGAAGGGUUGUAGAUUAAUACUCUGCAAUUUCGACGUUACCGACAGAAUAAGCACCGGCUAACUCUGUGCCAGCCGCCGCCGUAACAC